AUUGAACGCUGGCGGCAUGCUUUACACAUGCAAGUCGAACGGCAGCGCGGGGCAACCUGGCGGCGAGUGGCGAACGGGUGAGUAAUAUAUCGGAACGUACCCAGAAGUGGGGGAUAACGUAGCGAAAGUUACGCUAAUACCGCAUACGAUCUACGGAUGAAAGUGGGGGAUCUUCGGGCCUCAUGCUUUUGGAGCGGCCGAUAUCUGAUUAGCUAGUUGGUGGGGUAAAGGCUCACCAAGGCGACGAUCAGUAGCUGGUCUGAGAGGACGACCAGCCACACUGGGACUGAGACACGGCCCAGACUCCUACGGGAGGCAGCAGUGGGGGAAUUUUUGGACCAAAUGGGGGGGCGAACCCUGAUCCAGCAAUGCCGCGUGAGUGAAGAAGG
rnacentral:rRNA from 1 species